GAAAAUAAGUUGCAUUAAAACACUUGAAAUGACAGGAUCAAGUAAGAUUAAACUUGAUGGACCUACUGCAGGCAACCAUUAUUUGGUUUUUCUGACACAACUGCCAACUAUUGGAGUGUUUCCAAAUUUCAAAAGAUAAGUUGGUUCAGAAACACCAUAAGCUAAAGGCCAGCCCCACCUGGGCAUAGAUGUGAUUAUCAAUAAGGGGAGGAAAAAAAAACAAAAGCAUAACACAAAUUAGGUAGCACACGUGAGCUAACAGCACUUGGACAAUCUGAGCUGUCUGGAUUGAGUGAGCAUGGAAAAGCAAGUUCAAUAUUGUAAAAGGGACACCUGCAAUGAGAGGGGGGCAUUUCAGUCUGCAGAACCCAGUGUGCGGCUAUGAUGGCAGCACAUCCCUUACUCAAUAUUCCCAGGGUGACUUCUUCAUCUAUUGUGGGCUAUUUUUUAAGGCAAGGUAUUUUGAGUUGGUUAGUUGAUUUGCCUUUUUACAUUUUUAGUAAUCUUAUAUGAUAGUUUACUGAAAUUUACUCAAUUGGGUUCUUGUAUUUGGGAAUAGAGACAUCCAAUAAAGUACCCCCAUUCCAGCCUGCAUCUGUUUUUAUUCUUGACAGAAUCGCCUAGUCCAGCAGUUCUCAACAUGCAGGUUGAAAUCCCUUCUGCAAACUUUUAUCUCCAAAAAAUAUUUACAUUAUAAAUCGUAACAGUAGCAAAGUUACAGUUAUGAAGUAACAACAAAAAUGUUAUGGUUGGGGAUCACUACAACAUAACGAACUGUAUUAAAGGUCACAGCAUCAGGAAGGUUGAGAACCAUUGGCCUAAACAUACUGAUGAAGAAACAAUGUUCUAACGAUACAGUCAAGGAAGGUAAAGUACUAGAACUCAGGCAGGACCAAGGACAAAUGCAGCCAGUGUUGGGAUCCACUUCUCCCUCAGGGAGCUAAGCAGACACUGAAACACUUCUGUGGAGAAACUACUGAGAGCUGGCUAGCUGUGGCUGUAACUAACCCCUCUGGUCACCCGUGAACUGUGGAGUGUGAAAGCACACCCCACCGACCCCAGCCAUAGAGGACAGGUCACUACAAACUGAGCAGCUGAGUCAGCUGUGUCCACUAGGAGACACAGCACCCUUACAAGUGUAUACCCGGCUCUCUUUUUCCAGAACUGCUAAAACAACAUCAAUGGACAAAGCUGGGGAAGUUCACUAGAGUUAGGAAAAUGCCCCAAUGAGUACACCCAGUGUAAACACCAGUCCAGUCAGUAAACAUCAUCAGCUUCACCCAAACUUUGGUCAAGCCUUUAUUCAAGCAUGCUUAUUAAGUUGGCCUUUUAUUAUUUAUUACUAUUAAUCUUUGCCUUUAAAUGUCCAUGUAUCA